CCCUGCAGGAGGGUUUCAGAAGUCCGCCCCCUGGAAUUUCUGUCCUUUGGGGGAAGCUUGAAACCCAACAAGGGCAUCUUUGUCCCUCCAGGCUGGCCGCCAGUGCAGCCUCUCUGGGGCACGGGGCUGCGGGUGUGAUUCCCACACACCCAUCCAAGAGGGAUAAAGAAGGAUAAAGCCACCUCGCCGUCAGGCGUCAGCUCCUCUCUGCACACUGCUCUUGACAGUCCAAGGGUUUAAAUGUGGUGUCUCCAGGCCAUCAGAUGCCCCAGUGGCACAUGAAGGUCUGCACUGGCGACCUUCCUCAGGGGCCGAGGAAGCCAGGACAAGGCAAGAGAGCCCCCAGGCUGGGGGCAGGAGGCCUGGGCUCUAAUCUCAUCCUGCUGUAAACUUGCGGGGUGACGCUGCGUAAACAUAUCCGUGUUGACGGGGGACUGAGCCGUGGACUUAGCUGUGACCUGGUAACGGGCAGGGCCCAGGUCAGGAUGGCUCAGCACACAGAGUUUAGAAUGGGGAACAAGUCCCAGGGGUGCUGGAAGGGCAGAGAGCCCAGACAGGAGGGGGAAGCAAUGCAGAGAGCAGCACUGGUGCGGGCCGAGGGUGUCCUGGGGUUCCCCAGGGCCCCUGCGGAAGAAGGGGCCGCCUGGCAGCGGCUGAACUGCGGAGAGGGUGCUCUGAUGCACGUCCAGACCUGCACCUCAGAAAGAGUUCCUGUUCUUCACGCUGCUGGCAACGGUGCCGCUGAUGCUUUGCCGCUAAGUAUGUCUCCAGAAUUGCCUCGCCCGAAGCAGGCUGCCUCACCCCAGCUUAGGUCUGCAUCCAAGCCUGGUGGGCGUGGGAGCAUGGAGUCCCAGCCUCUGGCCUUGACCGUGGACAUCUCUAAAGGGGCUAUCCCCGCCCCAUAGCCUCCCACGAGGUCAGCCGAGGCCUCUGUUGCACCCUGCUCUCUGCCCCGUCCCGCGUCCCUCACUCUCUCAGAGGUCUUCUCCCCUGCGUGCAAAUCUCCACUUCGGAGUCUGUCUCCUGGAGAACCCGACUGAAGGCCGUUGGUACUGAGAACGGUGCCAGGGAGAAAAUUGUAAAUUGGGGUUUUGGAGCCGGGCAGCAGGUGGUGGGUGAAGACGCUGGCAGCUGACUGUGGCAACCGUGAAAACGGUAGCCGGUGGGGAGCCGGGCCGGCCCUGCGCUGGUGUGCACAGUAGCCCAAGUGGUUGCCGCCCGGGGGGACAGUCAGUGUAAGGGCCACGGAAUUGGGUGCUGUUCCUGGCUGUGGUCAGUGGGUGGGAGAAAGAGUGGCAGCCUGAUUGCUCAUCGAUUUAAGACCAAGUGUGGGGUGGUGGCAGCAGAAGCUGUGGCCGAGGAGCUCCAAAUCCUGUAACACAAUGAAAAAGGGGCAAAAAUUGUUAACGUCUACUUUUCCCUCCCCCAAGAACUCUGGAAAUUAACCAAAGGCUUACAGCAAUUGACGGAUUUACUUAAGAAAAACAGCUGAUUCUCAGUAAAAUCAGUUAAUUUGAUUGUCCCCGCCCCCCUCUUCUUCAGCUCCGUGGUUGCUCGCAAUACUGGUAAAUGCGGAACAGAGCUCAUUCCCAAAGAAUCGUGAUUAGUUAUUUGUUCUGACUUGUCCUGUGUUCUCUGGAAGGCCGGCCCAAAUGUUUGUUUGUGUUUCGUUUAACUCAGAGUUGGCCUAGAGCGCAAGCAGCACCCGGGGUGUGUGCCGAAAGCGUUAGCUGACUGCCGCGAGAGGCAGAUUCUUCACCACUGAGCCGCCCGGGAAGCGCACGUCUGUUCCACAGACCCCAGCAAUUCUACCACCGAGUGUGUGAGCCACCCACAGAGAUACACAAGAGUGAUCCGCUUUGCUGUUUGAACAACAAACAGCUGCCCGAAUGUCCGUUGUAGGUAGAAAGGGAAGAGAGAGACCCCUGUGCUUUCGGCCCCCACAGAUAAGAGGCCGUGUGGGGACGGGGACAGAAGGCGACCACCUCCAAGCCACAAGGAGCUCUCUCACCAGAUCCCACCCCAAUGGACGGCACCUUGAUCUUGGAGCUCUGGCCUCCAAAACUGAGAAAAUACAUUUCUAUUAUUUAAGCCACCCAGGGUGCUGUGGUUUGUUAUGGACACCCAAGCCGCCUGAGACACCACCACUCAGGGCUUCCCCUGCCCCGCAGGGCUGGGUGGACGCCCUCUGCUCCCUCUGUGGCCUGGGGUAAGCAGCCCCCGCCCCUCAAGGGCGGAGGGCAGCGGGUACCAGGUGAGACCGAAGGUGCUGGGCUUGAAGCCUGGUUCCCCCACUUGCUGGCCUUGCUACUCAGCCUCCUGGAGAUUCAGUCUUCCCUUCUGCCGAGGGAUGGAGGUGAGGAUCCGCCCCUGGAGAGCGCCAAGGACAUGGGAAAGCCUCAGCAAGGGCACACAGCAGUCCGAGCCCUCCGCAGAGGCCCCAGGACGGGCGGGCGUUGGUCUGGAGGACCUCAUCGCAAGAUCUAAGCGGUGGUCAGCUUCUGCAGCGGAGAGGGCAGUCAGGAAAUCUGCCUGCUUGGGUGAGAGAGCAAAAGCUGUCCCGGGCAGAGCUACCGAGGCGCCGGGCAGACCUUUCCUAUCUCUCCAUCUUUCUGAAAGGGAGCGUUGGCCGCACUGUUGCUGUUUAAUUAGGGGGAGCAGUUAAAGCAUGAUGGAGGCUCCGUCUCCCUGGUACGAGGGUGGUGCUCUCUGACCUGGCAGGACCCCAGGCCCCCAGCUCAGCGCCCACCGUCCGCACACCUUCCUUCCUGGUGUGGAGUUCUCCCCAACCCGGACUCCCGUCUCCCCCUUGCUGCCCACCUCUCCUGGUCCUGACCCUGCAGGGCCCGUGUCCCCAUCCUUGCCCUCUGACCCCGGGCCCACAAACGCUAACCCUGCUUCUCUUCUCUGCAGGUUGCUGGGAAGCGUCUGGAUUUUUAGGCUUGGUAACCACAAAUCUGGGUUCGGGGGACUGGCUGCACAGACCCCGUUCUGGACCUUUUCUGCCUCUGUAUUUGAAGCCCAGACCACGACGGGCUACCGGCUCCAUAUCUUCCAACAGCAAAUAAAUACAUUGAUUAGAGUCA